GUUCGCUGGCUCGUUCUUUACCGUUAUUCCUGUCAUCGUGCGCGGCCUCAGCGGGCAGCAGACACCGGCUCAGGGUGCGCACCACGCCAGCCAUCCUUUACCACUUCGGCACGUUCAAUGAUGGUUCAGCCUCACGGUACCCUCCACUCCUUGUGAAGGAAACAAGCGCUACAGGUCCAGAAGUCUUUUGACCCGGUCUGAUCAGAGGGAUGAAGGAAGGAAGUCGAGUGACCGCAUUCCAGAACCCCUGUCAAAGCCAAGCCAGUCGAAGAGCGAGUGUCUUCACAGCACCUCUGUCCUUUGAGAUGCAGACCUCACAGGUUUUCCACAAGUUGUCAAUGACAACCAAAUGGCUUCAUCACACCUAUUCCCAACGGGCUGUGGAAGAACAUCAAGACAGCGAGUGUCCGCAGGAGAAGCUCUGAAAGGAAGCCAUUUUAACAAGAUCCUUUACUGGAGGGAGAUGGAUUUGGCACCGUGUAUGUAACCACCGUGACCCCCAUUCAGAAAGAAUAUUGGGACGCCAAACUUGUGAAACAUGUUCAUUGUACUAGUAGCGUUUGUUUUACAUUGACACUUUUAUAUAUAUGAUAGGUAUUAAAAUUAAUUUUGUAACUAGAUAAUGUUCUGAAGGUCUUGUUUUCUAAAGUCUUGUUAGAAUAUAUGUUUUGUAUUGUUUAUGUAGGGUCAUCUUCAGGACCAUAGGUCACAAUCACCCCAUCAUUUUAGCAAAAUCUGUUUUUAUAUACUGUAUUUAUUGUUUGUUAAUAUGUAUAUCUAUUGAAUAUGUACUGUAAACUUUGUUGAACUUGAAAUAUACACAGCAUAUUGUUCCAAAAAAAACACAUGCUAUUGUGUAUUGUACAUCACUAAGAAGUUAUGUGUGUCACACCAGGCUCCGCCCCACUUCCACGAUCACAUUCACCAGAAUUCUGAGCACACGACCUCGCACAGCACCAUAUAAGCCAGCCACAUGGACAGUCUCCCCAACGGAAAUGGACUCUAAUAGAUGUUAUUCAACUAACCAGUUAACCUGAACCUAUCCAAGUCUCCUAGUGUUCCAAUGAUCUCCAAGUCUCCGAGUGGGCUCCAACGAUCCCUAUCCUCUGUUAUCUCCAAUGA